rnacentral:rRNA from 1 species
AUUGAACGCUGGCGGCAUGCUUUACACAUGCAAGUCGAACGGCAGCGCGGGCUUCGGCCUGGCGGCGAGUGGCGAACGGGUGAGUAAUGCAUCGGAACGUGCCCAGUAGUGGGGGAUAGCCCGGCGAAAGCCGGAUUAAUACCGCAUACGACCUGAGGGUGUAAGCGGGGGACCGAAAGGCCUCGCGCCAUUGGACCGGCCGAUGUCGGAUUAGCUAGUUGGUGGGGUAAAGGCUUACCAAGGCGACGAUCCGUAGCUGGUCUGAGAGGACGACCAGCCACACUGGGACUGAGACACGGCCCAGACUCCUACGGGAGGCAGCAGUGGGGAAUUUUGGACAAUGGGGGCAACCCUGAUCCAGCCAUGCCGCGUGCGGGAAGAAGGCCUUCGGGUUGUAAACCGCUUUUGUUCGGGAAGAAAUCCUCUGGGCUAAUACCCCGGGGGGAUGACGGUACCGGAAGAAUAAGCACCGGCUAACUACGUG